rnacentral:rRNA from 1 species
GUUGUAUGGUUAAGUGACUAAGCGUACACGGUGGAUGCCUUGGCAGUCAGAGGCGAUGAAAGACGUAGUAACUUGCGAUAAGCCCAGAUUAGGUAGUAACAACCAUUUGAGUCUGGGAUUUCUGAAUGGGGAAACCCACGUGCAUAAGCACGUAUCCUUACCUGAAUACAUAGGGUAAGGAGGCGAACCGGGGGAACUGAAACAUCUAAGUACCCCGAGGAAAAGAAAUCAACCGAGAUUCCGAAAGUAGCGGCGAGCGAAAUUGGACUAGCCCUUAAGCUUUACACGCGUUAGACGAACGGUCUGGAAAGUCCGACGAUACAGGGUGAUAGUCCCGUAGUUGACGACGUGUGUUCAGUGAAAUCGAGUAGGGCGGGACACGUGAUAUCCUGUCUGAAUAUGGGGGGACCAUCCUCCAAGGCUAAAUACUACUGACUGACCGAUAGUGAACCAGUACCGUGAGGGAAAGGCGAAAAGAACCCCUGUGAGGGGAGUGAAAUAGAACCUGAAACCGUGUACGUACAAGCAGUAGGAGCAGGCUUUGUCCUGUGACUGCGUACCUUUUGUAUAAUGGGUCAGCGACUUAUAUUCAGUGGCAAGGUUAACCAUCUAGGGGAGCCGUAGGGAAACCGAGUCUUAACUGGGCGUUCAGUCUCUGGAUAUAGACCCGAAACCAGGUGAUCUAGCCAUGGGCAGGUUGAAGGUUGAGUAACAUCAACUGGAGGACCGAACCGACUAAUGUUGAAAAAUUAGCGGAUGACUUGUGGCUAGGGGUGAAAGGCCAAUCAAACCUGGAGAUAGCUGGUUCUCCCCGAAAGCUAUUUAGGUAGCGCCUCGGACGAAUACUACUGGGGGUAGAGCACUGUUAAGGCUAGGGGGUCAUCCCGACUUACCAACCCUUUGCAAACUCCGAAUACCAGUAAGUACUAUCCGGGAGACACACGGCGGGUGCUAACGUCCGUCGUGGAGAGGGAAACAACCCAGACCGCCAGCUAAGGUCCCAAAUUACUACUAAGUGGGAAACGAUGUGGGAAGGCUCAGACAGCCAGGAUGUUGGCUUAGAAGCAGCCAUCAUUUAAAGAAAGCGUAAUAGCUCACUGGUCGAGUCGGCCUGCGCGGAAGAUGUAACGGGGCUAAGUAGUAAACCGAAGCUGCGGCAAUGUGCUUUUGCACAUUGGGUAGGGGAGCGUUCUGUAAGCGGUUGAAGGUGUGUGGUAACGCAUGCUGGACGUAUCAGAAGUGCGAAUGCUGACAUGAGUAACGAUAAAGGGGGUGAAAAACCUCCUCGCCGGAAGACCAAGGGUUCCUGUCCAACGUUAAUCGGGGCAGGGUAAGUCGACCCCUAAGGCGAGGCCGAAAGGCGUAGUCGAUGGGAAACGGGUUAAUAUUCCCGUACUUCUUACAAUUGCGAUGGGGGGACGGAGAAGGCUAGGUGGGCCUGGCGACGGUUGUCCAGGUUCAAGUGCGUAGGCUUGAGAGUUAGGUAAAUCCGGCUCUUUUUAAGGCUGAGACACGACGUCGAGCACCUACGGGUGUGAAGUCAUUGAUGCCAUGCUUCCAGGAAAAGCCUCUAAGCUUCAGAUUGUAAGGAAUCGUACCCCAAACCGACACAGGUGGUCGGGUAGAGAAUACCAAGGCGCUUGAGAGAACUCGGGUGAAGGAACUAGGCAAAAUGGUACCGUAACUUCGGGAGAAGGUACGCUCUCGACGGUGAAGUCCCUCGCGGAUGGAGCUAUUGAGAGUCGCAGAUACCAGGUGGCUGCAACUGUUUAUUAAAAACACAGCACUGUGCAAAAUCGUAAGAUGACGUAUACGGUGUGACGCCUGCCCGGUGCCGGAAGGUUAAUUGAUGGGGUUAGACUUCGGUCGAAGCUCUUGAUCGAAGCCCCGGUAAACGGCGGCCGUAACUAUAACGGUCCUAAGGUAGCGAAAUUCCUUGUCGGGUAAGUUCCGACCUGCACGAAUGGCGUAAUGAUGGCCACGCUGUCUCCACCCGAGACUCAGUGAAAUUGAAAUCGCUGUGAAGAUGCAGUGUACCCGCGGCUAGACGGAAAGACCCCGUGAACCUUUACUACAGCUUGGCACUGAACAUUGACCCUACAUGUGUAGGAUAGGUGGGAGGCUUUGAAGCACGUACGCCAGUAUGUGUGGAGCCGUCCUUGAAAUACCACCCUUGUAGUGUUGAUGUUCUAACGUCGACCCCUUAUCGGGGUUGCGGACAGUGCCUGGUGGGUAGUUUGACUGGGGCGGUCUCCUCCCAAAGAGUAACGGAGGAGCACGAAGGUGGGCUAAUCACGGUUGGACAUCGUGAGGUUAGUGCAAUGGCAUAAGCCCGCUUGACUGCGAGAAUGACAAUUCGAGCAGGUGCGAAAGCAGGUCAUAGUGAUCCGGUGGUUCUGAAUGGAAGGGCCAUCGCUCAACGGAUAAAAGGUACUCCGGGGAUAACAGGCUGAUACCGCCCAAGAGUUCAUAUCGACGGCGGUGUUUGGCACCUCGAUGUCGGCUCAUCACAUCCUGGGGCUGAAGUCGGUCCCAAGGGUAUGGCUGUUCGCCAUUUAAAGUGGUACGCGAGCUGGGUUUAGAACGUCGUGAGACAGUUCGGUCCCUAUCUGCCGUGGGCGUUGGAAGAUUGAAGGGGGCUGCUCCUAGUACGAGAGGACCGGAGUGGACGAACCUCUGGUGUUCGGGUUGUGUCGCCAGACGCAUUGCCCGGUAGCUAAGUUCGGAAUCGAUAACCGCUGAAAGCAUCUAAGCGGGAAGCGAGCCCUGAGAUGAGUCUUCCCUGAUACUUUAAGUAUCCUAAAGGGUUGUCGGAGACUACGACGUUGAUAGGUCAGGUGUGUAAGUGCUGUGAGGCAUUGAGCUAACUGAUACUAAUUGCCCGUGAGGCUUAACCAUACAACACCUAAGGGGUUU